rnacentral:rRNA from 1 species
CAACUUCUAACGGUGGAUCUCUUGGCUCGUGCAUCGAUGAAGAACGCAGCCAGCUGCGAUAAGUAGUGUGAAUUGCAGAACUCAGCGAA